AAGAAGGUAAUCACGGGAGACACACGGCGGGUGCUAACGUCCGUCGUGAAGAGGGAAACAACCCAGACCGCCAGCUAAGGUCCCAAAGUCAUGGUUAAGUGGGAAACGAUGUGGGAAGGCACAGACAGCCAGGAUGUUGGCUUAGAAGCAGCCAUCAUGUAAAGAAAGCGUAAUAGCUCACUGGUCGAGUCGGCCUGCGCGGAAGAUGUAACGGGGCUAAACCAUGCACCGAAGCUGCGGCAGCGACGCUUAUGCGUUGUUGGGUAGGGGAGCGUUCUGUAAGCCGUUGAAGGUGUCCUGUGAGGGGUGCUGGAGGUAUCAGAAGUGCGAAUGCUGACAUAAGUAACGAUAAAGCGGGUGAAAAGCCCGCUCGCCGGAAGACCAAGGGUUCCUGUCCAACGUUAAUCGGGGCAGGGUGAGUCGACCCCUAAGGCGAGGCCGAAAGGCGUAGUCGAUGGGAAACAGGUUAAUAUUCCUGUACUUGGUGUUACUGCGAAGGGGGGACGGAGAAGGCUAUGUCAGCCGGGCGACGGUUGUCCCGGUUUAAGCAUGUAGGCGGAGGUUCCAGGUAAAUCCGGUACCUUGUUAACGCUGAGGUGUGAUGACGAGGCACUACGGUGCUGAAGUGAUAAAUGCCCUGCUUCCAGGAAAAGCCUCUAAGCAUCAGGUAACACGAAAUCGUACCCCAAACCGACACAGGUGGUCAGGUAGAGAAUACCAAGGCGCUUGAGAGAACUCGGGUGAAGGAACUAGGCAAAAUGGUGCCGUAACUUCGGGAGAAGGCACGCUGAUAGGUAGGUGAAGUCCCUGCGGACGGAGCUGAAAUCAGUCGAAGAUACCAGCUGGCUGCAACUGUUUAUUAAAAACACAGCACUGUGCAAACACGAAAGUGGACGUAUACGGUGUGACGCCUGCCCGGUGCCGGAAGGUUAAUUGAUGGGGUUAGCGGCAACGCGAAGCUCUUGAUCGAAGCCCCGGUAAACGGCGGCCGUAACUAUAACGGUCCUAAGGUAGCGAAAUUCCUUGUCGGGUAAGUUCCGACCUGCACGAAUGGCGUAAUGAUGGCCAGGCUGUCUCCACCCGAGACUCAGUGAAAUUGAACUCGCUGUGAAGAUGCAGUGUACCCGCGGCAAGACGGAAAGACCCCGUGAACCUUUACUAUAGCUUGACACUGAACACUGGUCCUUGAUGUGUAGGAUAGGUGGGAGGCUUUGAAGCGUGGACGCCAGUCUGCGUGGAGCCAACCUUGAAAUACCACCCUUUAAUGGCUGGUGUUCUAACGUAGACCCGUAAUCCGGGUUGCGGACAGUGUCUGGUGGGUAGUUUGACUGGGGCGGUCUCCUCCCAAAGAGUAACGGAGGAGCACGAAGGUUGGCUAAUCCUGGUCGGACAUCAGGAGGUUAGUGCAAUGGCAUAAGCCAGCUUGACUG
rnacentral:rRNA from 1 species